UACCUUGAAGAGAUUGUUCAUUAUGACUCGUCCAUCUUCAGCAUGAACGUGCAUCGCGCUCAUGAGAGAUGUUCUACUUAUCCGUAGUAUUUGAGAUAACUCAGUUGUCUUUACCGUAAAAGGUUGUGGUCUAUAGCAUAAAACUCCAAUCUCUCCAAACAUAUCUCCAACAACUGCUUUGCCUUGAAUCUGAUCUUGUCCAUCAACAUAGGCUGUGAAAUCCUACAACAGUUACACAACGUUUGAAGGUAAUUAUUGAUAAUUCUAUGCUAUUAAUUAAAUUUUUACUGAUAACCAAUAUAACUCGCUUACCACUGAUCCUGAGACCAGAAUGUAAAGAUCCGUUGGAGCUUCGUUUUGUAGAAUUAUAUCUUCCUUAGGUGGGAAAUACUCAGCAUCUAUAUCUGAAACCUUGGGCAUAAAAUGGUAACUUCAUGAAACCUCUUAGAGUGAUAUUAAAAGUUGAAAUGAAAAGUUAGAGAAUAUAAUUUUACCAAUUGAAAGAGGAAGUCACGAGAAACUCCUUGAAAUAGAUAAAUGUUUUGAACAAUGGGGAAGAAGAGAUAGUUUGCAAUGCUUGACCGGAUUGCUUUUGGCAAAUUGUUCAAAGUUUCUUGUUGUUUCAAGCCCUCUGUUUUGAACUUCAGGCAAAAGUGUGAUAACAUUUGGUCUUGUAUGUCAUGUGGGAGUUGGUUUCUUGAAGCAAACUCUGAAGCAGCUCUCACUGUAUCUCUCUGUUGUAUAGAAAUCAUUAGUAUUUUGUCUAGUUUGAACAAGUUAAUACUAAAGACAAGUAAAAAAUAUUUGACCAUGUCUAUAACUUUCAGUAGGUUUAACAAUUAACUUGAGGUAGAUCAAAAUAUGCAUGUGUAUUCAGACAAGAUAUAUGAUCCUACCAUACCUAAUUCAAAUUACCUAUAAUUUUCAUGUAAGGAUAACAGAAAUUACUAGGUUAGAUCAUGAAAUUUUAAUUUAUUAAUUUUAAAUUUGGAUAUCCCAAUAACCUGCUUGAAUUAUAUCAAUAUAUAAAAUUAUAUAAGUUUUUGCUUUUCAAAGUACCCAACCUUUUUUAUACAAAAUGAACAUGCCUAGCUAGAUCAAAAUAAAGGGAUCAUCAAACUUACAAAGCUUCUGGUUCGGCUAGUCCAGUGAACAACGAGGUUAGUCAUAUUACCAAUCAGGUAAGCCGUCAAGCCGAGGUUGAACAUCAUGAAGAAAAUGUCAAAGAUCAUUUCUCUUGGAUUCUCAGGAUGCAAAUCUCCAUAUCCAGUGGUCGUCAACGUCGUAAUAGACCAGUAAAGAGCAGUCACAUAUCUAUUCCAGAGACUUGUUUCCUUGAAAUCUGGAUAAACAGCUCCAAUCCAUGUCUUUCUUGGAUUGGGAUAUCUAUCUGCGAUCAGGUAGUUGAAACAUCCAGCACAAUGUACAGCAAACAAAGUGACCUGAGAUUUAUAAAAAAUUCAAGUUAUAAAUUAAUAAAAUAGAAAAUCUAUAUUAUUAAUUUAACUAUAUAUUACUAAUAUGGAGGAAAACUAAUUGGCUCAAAUUAGAAUGUGAAAAUUUAUUUAUUUAUCAUAUAUUAAUAUGUAGAGUUUAUUAUAAAUAAAUAAAUAAAAAGCUUUUUGCUCUGUUUUGAGACUAACCGAAAUGAGUUUUGUGCACCGUAUCCAGAAAUAGUUGAAACGGAUAUCUUUCUCAAGCCUGAAGCAAAAAGAAAGAGUUAGAGAAAUGCGAUAAAUACUUUUAUAAUAUGGUCUUAAGCAUUGCAAUAAUUAAACCUUGCGAACAGCGAGCUAACCCGUCUGAGCCUCCAUAACCUGAGCAUGCUAAGAAUUCUAAAUCCUAACUCGCUUCCAUUAUAGUGAAACAGGAGGCUCAAUGGCUGAAAUGGUGCUGUAGAACACACAUCGAAGGCGAACCAAGUAGAGAGGUACCUGAAAAUGUUCACAUUUUCAUGAAUAUGAUUCACUUGUACAAAGGUUUCAAACUAAUUUUAUUUCUAACCUUAUUGUUAUUUUCUUAGGGUUGUCAACUAGAAGAUAGGAGUGGCUAUCGAGAUAGGCGACGAAGAAGGUGAGGACAAUAUCAAUGGCGAAGAAGCCGUUAACAAUAUUGUCUAUGAUGAAAAGGGCGUCUUUCUUGUAGGUGAUGAAGGCAAAUUCAAAAGGACAAAUCCAAGCUGAGUAAAUGACUAGAAAGACUAACCACAUCUCCCAUGCUCUGUUCCAACAUAAACCAGAGGAUUGAGAGAAACAUAACAUAAUCUGGUUAAGUUAAAAUUUACAUAAAACAUAGUUUGGAGAUUAUGAGAAAAUUACCUAUAUUUUGGAUUAAAAGGAGAGAUUAUGUGUUUACGUAGCUUAGUUGAUUGGUUAAUUCUAGCUCCAAGAGAUGGCAAAAGAUCUGCGGAGAGGAAGCUACUAUGUUUUAUGGUAUCAAUAUUGUAUUCCUCAACGCAGAAUCUUUCAAAGAAUAUUAGAAUUAGACUUUUGUCUUAAUGGCUUUUCACUUGCAAUGUUGUUUCCUAGCUAGUACAUGAUUGAAUCAAAUGCUGCCAUGCUGGGUUGAUAGAACCGUAUUUUAUAUUCUACGGAGAACUAAAUACGGUAAAGAAUAAGAUUGAUAAAAUUAUAUCAAAGAUUAAGAAAAAGAUGAUACAACUGCAGAGGCGAGAUAUUAUCUAUUUCCUUAACUCAAAUACGUCCCGUAGUGCGACGGUUCGAUAACGUAAUGAGUCCAAAGAUACAACUAUAAUUAAUCUUCUCAUUUGCGUCACUCUAUCAGAAGUCUGGCGAAACUAGUUUUGUGUGUACUCUCAGACUCAAAAAAAAUAUCAAAAAGGAAAAUGAAAUAUGAGCGAUUGAUUUGUUUUCUCUGUCUUAGAAUAAGGAAGACCAUUGUCUAUAUAUAUAUACUCUCAUAGUAUUGCCCAAUAAAUCCAAGCAAUAGUGGAGAGAUACGGAGGUUACGUUCUUCAUAUUGAUUCUCAAUCAAUUAUGAAUAAAUGUGAUAUUAAGUUUGGAAUAAAUUGCUUGGUUGACCAGGACAAAUUAUGUACCAAAACAUAAUAAAUAUCUGGAGCACACAUAAUGGUAUUAUGGAUCGACGACCCAUUUACCAAAUCCCGAAACCCAAAACUCGAGUCCGGUCCAGAUAUUUAACACACUUUAUAUUAUAAUGUGAGACAUUUUACAAAUGUUAUAUUUUAAGCUUCGUAAACAACCCAUAUUAAACCUCCAUUUCUUAUUCAAACCAACUUCGAUUUUGACCAACAAAUAUACUAACUCAUAGUGUUCACGGUGACGAUUCCAUCGUGCCCAAACUCUGAUCAUUCCGACAGACGUCUCCGUCGGAAAAAUGGUCCGCACUACUUUGUCAAAAAAGAGUUCCACCAUGGGUAAGGUCCGUGACCAAAAUCUAAAAAGACACACUAUAAUAAUAUGUACACACAAGGUUCUAACUUUUGUUGGUGGCCUAAAACACGCUCUAAACUACUGGAAAUCAAAUGUUUCCCAACAAUUGUGUAGCAUGUUUAGAAUACGUUGAUGUAUACAAACGUGAAAGAGAACAGCAAAGCUACCAAUUCAUUAAGGUUGUGGUCUUCAUGAAUCUUUUUUUUUUUUAUCUUUUUAAAAAGGUUUUUGACCAUAGAAAAAUUAGGGAUGGUUAUUUUUCAUUGAUUUCUUGUUCGGUUUCCAAACUGUAUCGAAAAGUCAUAGGAGAUAUAUACUCUAUGAAUUAUAGUACAGUGGUUUAAGAAAAGAUGAAGCAACAAAAAAUUAUUCAUUGCACUACUUUAUUUCGACUUUCUCAUUUUUCAACUUUUUUGUUAUUAAAUUAUAUAUCAUAUACAUCCCAUAUACUAUUGAUCUGUGUUGUUGUGUCAAUCAAUAUCAGGUUUCGUAGAUUACAGUUUUGAUAAUCCAACUGUUCUGUGAAACCGAGUAAGAAUACACUGUCGCGGACAUACAUUGCUGUAACGAAGGAAGGCUAGUCUCAGUUACUACCUCCAAACUCAGUUUGAUGAAAAAAACAAAUGAUCACCAUCCCUAAUGACAUCUAAAUCAUCAAUCUCAGUGUUCUCUGCAUUCGUGAUCUUUGUGAAGCUGCAUCCUCCAAACUUUUCACCUACAUAAUUCCCAAAGUUUCAACGGUUAGAAAUUUUUUUCACAAAGGAGAGUUUUGUUCUUCAUUUUGAGUCUUUUCAGAGCUUACCUGCUAGAAUUACAAGCUCUUCUAUGGAUUUAGGUAAGAGUAUCAACUUCCCGUUAUGGCACUGUGAUUGAUCUUUCUCUUGUGACAACAUGUGAAUGGUAACUCUCUUGUCGUGUCCUCUACAUGGCUUGGUUUGGAUGCUGGAGCUGCAAUGCUGAUGUUUAACUAGCUUCUUAAUUGUUUCAGUAUCUCCCUUGUGAGUUGCAUCCAUUAUAGCCUUUUCUCCACUGUCUGAAGUUGACUCUGUAACAUCUAAACAAUUGGCAUCUUUUCUUGAAUCCAUCCACUCUUCCCAUCCCAUUAGUUGAAAAUUUAUGUUUUGUUGGUCAUUAUUUGUAUCUUCUAUUGCUAUUGAUUGUUGUCCUCUAAGUUUCUUCAAGUAUUGUAACAAAACAUGAGUUUAAAUUUGUUUUAACUAUAUACAUAAGUUUCAAGAGUAUUGUUUUUAGCUCACAUACCUUGAAGAGAUUGUUCAUUAUGACUCGUCCAUCUUCAGCAUGAACGUGCAUCGCGCUCAUGAGAGAUGUUCUACUUAUCCGUAGUAUUUGAGAUAACUCAGUUGUCUUUACCGUAAAAGGUUGUGGUCUAUAGCAUAAAACUCCAAUCUCUCCAAACAUAUCUCCAACAACUGCUUUGCCUUGAAUCUGAUCUUGUCCAUCAACAU
rnacentral:lncRNA from 1 species